UCCCUGGAGGACUAGUGGUUAGGCCACAGCGCUCUCACCGCUGCGGCCCAGGUUCAAUUCCCAGCCAGGGAA
rnacentral:tRNA from 1 species